AUUGAACGCUGGCGGCAGGCCUAACACAUGCAAGUCGAGCGAGCGGCGGACGGGUGAGUAAUGUAUGGGAAACUGCCCGAUGGAGGGGGAUAACUACUGGAAACGGUAGCUAAUACCGCAUACCAUCGGAUGUACCCAUAUGGGAUUAGCUAGUAGGUGGGGUAAGGGCUCACCUAGGCGACGAUCCCUAGCUGGUCUGAGAGGAUGACCAGCCACACUGGAACUGAGACACGGCCCAGACUCCUACGGGAGGCAGCAGUGGGGAAUAUUGCACAAUGGGCGCAAGCCUGAUGCAGCCAUGCCGCGUGUAUGAAGAAGGCCUUCGGGUUGUAAAGUACUUUCAGCGAGGAGGCGUUACCCGCAGAAGAAGCACCGGCUAACUCCGUGCCAGCAGCCGCGGUAAUAC
rnacentral:rRNA from 1 species